rnacentral:rRNA from 1 species
CCUACGGGAGGCAGCAGUGAGGAAUAUUGGUCAAUGGCCGGAAGGCUGAACCAGCCAAGCCGCGUGAGGGAGGAAGGCGCAGAGCGUCGCAGACCUCUUUUGCCGGGGGACAAAAGGCCGGACUCGUCCGGUCCUGAGGGUACCCGGAGAAAAAGCAUCGGCUAACUCCGUGCCAGCAGCCGCGGUAAUACGGAGGAUGCGAGCGUUAUCCGGAUUCAUUGGGUUUAAAGGGUGCGCAGGCGGGCCUUUAAGCCGGCGGUGAAAUCGCGGGGCUCAACCUCGCUCCGCCGUUGAAACUGGCGUUCGUGAGUGGGCGAGAAGUAUGCGGAAUGCGUGGUGUAGCGGUGAAAUGCAUAGAUAUCACGCAGAACUCCGAUUGUGAAGGCAGCAUACCGGCGCCCAACUGACGCUGAAGCACGAAAGCGUGGGUAUCGAACAGGAUUAGAUACCCUUGUAGUC